AUGAAAUUUAGACUGGACAGGAUUUUCCUUCUGACUAUUUUCCAAGGUGUCCAGUGUGAUGUGCAGCUGGUGGAGUCUAGGGGAGAUGUGAGACAGCUUGGGGCUUCUCUGCGGCUCUCCUGCAAAGCCUCUGGAUUUACCUUCAGUAGCUACUGGAUGAACUGGGUAUGCCAGGCUCCAGGAAAGGGACUGGAAUGGAUUUCAACCAUUACUAAUGGUGGAAUUAGUACAAACUAUGCAGACUCUGUGAAAGGUCGAUUCACCAUCUCCAGAGAUGAUGGCAACAGCAUGCUGUAUCUACAAAUGACUUCCCUUAAUACUGAGGAUAUAGCUGUGUAUUAG